UCCCCACACUCAGCAGGCAGAGGCAGGUAGAUCUCUGAGUUUGAGGACAGCCUGGUCUACAGAGUGAGUUCUAGGGUGGCCAGGGCUCCACAGAGAAACCCUGUCUAAAAAACAAAAACAAAAAACAAAACAAAAAACUUGAAAAUACAACUGAAUGAAAUAAAGAAAACAGUCACAAAAAUAGAUUCUGACAAAGUAACAGAAUCACUAAAAAAAAAAAAAAAAACCCAAAUUGAUAUAAAACUGAAAUAAAAAAACUCAGGAUGUCAAACAAAAACCUCAACAUGGAAGAGAGAAUUUCAGAUCUUAAAGACUCGGCCAAAGAAAAUGUUAAAUCAAAAAAUAUUCAGGCUCAAAACAUCCAAAACAUCUGGGACACUAUGAAAAGAUCAAACAUAGCAAGAACAGCCACAAAGGAAGAAGAAAUCCAGGUCAAAGUCACAGAAAAUAUUUUUAACAAAUUCAUAAAAGUAUUUUCCCAAUCUGUCAAGGACAUCACAAGAAAACCUACAGAGUAAAUUAAUCUGGGUCACCAGCCAAAGAAUGUGCAGGGGUUGGACCUAGGUCCCCCACACAUAUGUAGUAGCUGUGCAGCUUGGCCUUCAUGUGGGUCCCCUAAUAAUUGGAGUGUUUUUGUUUUGUUGUAGUUGUUGUUUUAAGAUGCCUGUUUGGUUUGUUUUGUUUGUUUGUUUGUUUGUUUGUUUGUUUUUUCUGAAAAAGAGCAAGAAAGGCUAUAGAUUCGAGUGGUUGGAGAGGUGAGGAAGAUCUGAGAAGGGUCAAGGAAGAGAAAACCAUAAUCAGAAUUUAUUGUAUGAAAAAAAUCUAUUUUCAACUAAAAAAAUGAUUGUUGACCAGGCACGGUGGGGGUUGUCUCUCACUAUAGAGAAACUUUCCCUAAUUAAUUGAUUGGAUAAUAAAAGACUACAGAAGUCAAUCAAUAGG
rnacentral:lncRNA from 1 species